rnacentral:rRNA from 1 species
UGAACCACUUCGGUGGGGAUUAGUGGCGAACGGGUGAGUAACACGUGGGCAAUCUGCCCUUCACUCUGGGACAAGCCCUGGAAACGGGGUCUAAUACCGGAUAUCACUUCUACAGGCAUCUGUGGGGGUUGAAAGCUCCGGCGGUGAAGGAUGAGCCCGCGGCCUAUCAGCUUGUUGGUGAGGUAAUGGCUCACCAAGGCGACGACGGGUAGCCGGCCUGAGAGGGCGACCGGCCACACUGGGACUGAGACACGGCCCAGACUCCUACGGGAGGCAGCAGUGGGGAAUAUUGCACAAUGGGCGAAAGCCUGAUGCAGCGACGCCGCGUGAGGGAUGACGGCCUUCGGGUUGUAAACCUCUUUCAGCAGGGAAGAAGCGAAAGUGACGGUACCUGCAGAAGAAGCGCCGGCUAACUACGUGCCAGCAGCCGCGGUAAUACGUAGGGCGCAAGCGUUGUCCGGAAUUAUUGGGCGUAAAGAGCUCGUAGGCGGUCUGUCGCGUCGGAUGUGAAAGCCCGGGGCUUAACCCCGGGUCUGCAUUCGAUACGGGCAGACUAGAGUGUGGUAGGGGAGAUCGGAAUUCCUGGUGUAGCGGUGAAAUGCGCAGAUAUCAGGAGGAACACCGGUGGCGAAGGCGGAUCUCUGGGCCAUUACUGACGCUGAGGAGCGAAAGCGUGGGGAGCGAACAGGAUUAGAUACCCUGGUAGUCCACGCCGUAAACGGUGGGAACUAGGUGUUGGCGACAUUCCAC